UGAAAUCUGUGUUGUUUUUAUUAAUAAAAAAAAAUUACAGGAAACCCGCCCUUAACAAUUAAUAAUCCUACCUCAGCUAUAGGCAGGCAACCAACAAUUGUUUCAUUCAAAAUUUAUUAAAUACAGUAUAUAUACUACAUUAUACAUGUUCUAACCCUCUGUACACCCGUUGUGAAACACAAUACUUGGUGCACGAGUAAGUACUAGUACGUACUAUAAAACAGCACGUAAAUAAGACUCAAAAUGAGUUCAUGGUUGUGGUCUAAUGAGUUCAUGGUUGCAGAUCAUUGGUGUGACUUAACCACUGCACAUCAUGCAUGCCUCCUUGUUUUGUAAUGAACAUGCGAUUG